UAGUGCUGCAAUGUAAAACAUUGCAGUUCCAGAGAACUGCAAUGUUUUUUCAUUGCAGCUCUA
rnacentral:miRNA from 1 species